rnacentral:rRNA from 1 species
CCUACGUGGAGCUGCAGUGAGGAAUAUUGGUCAAUGGCCGGAAGGCUGAACCAGCCAUGCCGCGUGAAGGUCAGUGCCCUAUGGGCGUUAAACUUCUUUUGUGCGGGAGCAAUAAUGGUCACGUGUGGCCAGACGAGAGUGCCGUACGAAUAAGCAUCGGCUAACUCCGUGCCAGCAGCCGCGGUAAUACGGGGGAUGCAAGCGUUAUCCGGAUUAAUUGGGUUUAAAGGGUGCGUAGGGUGUGAGGUCAGUCAGCGGUGAAAUGCCCCGGCGCAACGGGGUGAAGUGCCAUUGAUACUGCCUUGCUGGAAUGCGAAUGCCGUGGGAGGAAGGUGUGGUGUAGCGGUGAAAUGCAUAGAUAUCACACAGAACACCGAUUGCGAAGGCAGCACACGAAUCCGCGAUUGACGCUGAUGCACGAAAGCGUGGGUAUCAAACAGGAUUAGAUACCCUUGUAGUC